CUGGGACAUUAGUCAGUGGCCUGGCUCAGUGACUCCCUGCUCCCGCUGUGGAGUGUGGACGCCACUGAGCUCAAUAAGACUGACAGGAGAGCUAUGUAUGGGGAUGAAGGGAAUGUGAGAAAAAGAGAAGAAACAAUGGCCACUAUACUGAAAUUUAAGUGCACAGCAUAAAAAAUACUCUGGAACUUUCCUAAUGAACAACAUCUGGAGAGAUAUUUGCUACAAAGUGACAGCGUCUGAUGAAUGAUAUUCACACCAAGAUUCAGCAAUAGAUUUAUCUCCAGCUGUGAGCAUGCUGUGUAGACUUAUGAAUGAAGGAGGUCACAUUUCCACAGGAGUGCUGUGCGUGGCAUAACUGAUGAAACAUAUAUGGACAUAUAUAGACACGAAGAGGAGAGAGAAUAUGUGCCGAUUUCACAUAUA